rnacentral:rRNA from 1 species
AGUGAACGCUGGCGGUAGGCCUAACACAUGCAAGUCGAACGGCAGCACAGUAAGAGCUUGCUCUUACGGGUGGCGAGUGGCGGACGGGUGAGGAAUACAUCGGAAUCUACUUUUUCGUGGGGGAUAACGUAGGGAAACUUACGCUAAUACCGCAUACGACCUACGGGUGAAAGCAGGGGAUCUUCGGACCUUGCGCGAUUGAAUGAGCCGAUGUCGGAUUAGCUAGUUGGCGGGGUAAAGGCCCACCAAGGCGACGAUCCGUAGCUGGUCUGAGAGGAUGAUCAGCCACACUGGAACUGAGACACGGUCCAGACUCGUACGGGAGGCAGCAGUGGGGAAUAUUGGACAAUGGGCGAAAGCCUGAUCCAGCCAUACCGCGUGGGUGAAGAAGGCCUUCGGGUUGUAAAGCCCUUUUGUUGGGAAAGAAAAGCAGCAGGUUAAUACCCCGCUGUUCUGACGGUACCCAAAGAAUAAGCACCGGCUAACUUCGU